rnacentral:lncRNA from 1 species
AUGAAAAGUCUAUAUAUUUAUCUAGCUUUUCUUGGAUCGAUCUGCCCUAAACUCUGGUCUGUAUGAUGGAGAUGUCAAAGGAAGACGACUUUACGACAGUACUCAGGUUCCACAUGGUACAGGGACUAUAUACUUCUUUACAAAUGAUAGAUUUAACAGACAUAAUUACACUGGAGAAUGGGUGGAGGGACAACGAGAGGGGAACGGUACAACACACUUUA